GUCCCAGUUCGGACUGCAGUCUGCAACCCGGCUGCACGAAGCCGGAAUCGCUAGUAAUCGCGGAUCAGAAUGCCGCGGUGAAUACGUUCCCGGGUCUUGUACACACCGCCCGUCACACCAUGGGAGUCGGAAAUGCCCGAAGUCAGUGACCCAACCAUACGGAGGGAGCUGCCGAAGGCAGGUCCGGUAACUGGGGUGAAGUCGUAACAAGGUACC
rnacentral:rRNA from 1 species